GAGGGCGGAGAGAGGUGGCAUUUGAGUCCUCCGGUAUCCCAGCAGGCAGUGCAGCUUAGAGACGCUGACAAAGGACCGGAGGAGCAGUCGCAGCUGCUUUCCGAGGAGCCGGUGUUGCCGAGUUUUGACAUUUAACUCUAGUUUCUGAAAACGAGAAACUACAAGAAAAGCUUCCCCAUCCUCUAAUAGCCCAAUAAAAGAGAGACAGAGCAUGAUCGGGCGAGGGGCAGAG